AAGUCGUAACAAGGUAACCAGUAGAGUUUGAUCCUGGCUCAGGAAGUCGUAACAAGGUAACCACUAGAGUUUGAUCCUGGCUCAGGAUGAACGCUGGCGGUGUGCCUUAGGCAUGCAAGUCGAGCGGUAACAGGUCUAGCUUGCUAGAUGCUGACGAGCGGCAGACGGGUGAGUAACACGUAGGAAUCUACCGAGUAGUGGGGAAUAGCUCAGCGAAAGUUGGGGUAAUACCGCAUACGCCCUCCGGGGGAAAGUAUUUAUACGCUAUUCGAGGAGCCUGCGGGCUAUCAGUUUGUUGGUGGGGUAAUGGCCUACCAAGACUAUGACGGCUAGCCGAUGUGAGAGCAUGAUCGGCCACAAGGCUACUGAGACACGGAGCCUACACCUACGGGUGGCAGCAACCGGGAAUAUUGCGCAAUGGACGAAAGUCUGACGCAGCGACACCGCGUGUGGGAAGACGCUUUUCGGAGUGUAAACCACUGUGGCGAGGGAGGAAGUUCUGACAGUACCUCGCUAGAAAGCACCAGCUAACCACGUGCCAGAAGCUUCGGUAAUACGUGGGGUGCAAGCGUUAUCCGGAUUUACUGGGUGUAAAGGGUCCGUCGGCGUCCCUGUUAGUCACUUGUUUAAGCCUGAGGCUCAACUUCAGAAAGGCAAGUGAUACUGCAGGGAUAGAGUCUGUUCGAGGAAACUAGAAUUCUUGGUGGAGGGGUGAAAUCCGUAGAUAUCAAGAGGAAUACCAUGCGCGAAGGCAGGUUUCUAGGACAUGACUGACGCUCAGGGACGAAAGCUUGGGUAGC
rnacentral:rRNA from 1 species